rnacentral:rRNA from 1 species
CCGAGAAUAUUCCGCAAUGGACGAAAGUCUGACGGAGCGACGCCGCGUGAUGGAUGAAGUGCUUCGGUACGUAAACAGCUUUUAUCGGGGACGAAAUUAUUGACGGUACCCGAUGAAUAAGGAGCUCCUAACUCUGUGCCAGCAGGAGCGGUAAUACAGAGGCCCCAAGCGUUACCCGGAAUCACUGGGCGUAAAGGGUGUCCAGGCGGUCGUAUUAGUCGUUUGUAAAAUCCGUGAGCUUAACUUACGGUCCGCAAGCGAAACGGUACGACUCGAGAGCGCGAGAGGUGCAUGGAACUCAUGGUGGAGGGGUGAAAUCCGUUGAUAUCAUGGGGAACACCAAAGGCGAAGGCAGUGCACUAGCGCGUUCCUGACACUCACACACGAAAGCCAGGGGAUCGAACGGGAUUAGAUACCCCCGUAGUCC